rnacentral:misc_RNA from 1 species
GAUAAUAUCAGUACCAGGAGGUGAUCUAUACACAAAUACUAAUGAGCGGAAAUUUUCUUCGUAAACACAGUCGUUAAUUUCCGCUUCCUCUUGGCACAAUAACUAGUAGAAAUACGUAGCGAAUUAUCAAAUAUUAAUCGUAUCUUCGACAACAGAAUGCAUCGAUUCGAGAAUAUAAAUUUCAAUUUUUACUUGGUUUCGUCGAGUUUCGUCGUUCACAAUACCGCGAGCUGUUACCGCUUUUCGUGUGCCACGUAUGUACGUUUUGCAAUUUGACGCAGAAAGUCGAAGGAAAAACAGUGUGUACACAGCCGUCAAAAGCGUCUGUAUACUCGGACCACGUGGUGGCUGCGAGAUUUUAACGAGACCGAGUUUUAAAGACACCGCAAGAUGACAGGAUUCUUGCGUCACG